rnacentral:lncRNA from 1 species
CAUAUUGCCUGAUGGGUCAUUUAUAAAUGUAAUUUUUUAAUAAAAGCGUCUUUGAAAAGGCUAGUUGAGGGAAUGUGGUUCUUCUAAUCUGAUUACAUGCCUUUUUCCCCAUGAACAAUACUCAUGUUAGUCCAGGUUCUAAAAGAAAUAUUGUUCUGUUGAUACAGCUACAUGCUGAUAUAUUAACGCUACUUUUAUUAUUCUGUCACACGAUGGCUUAUUCUUAACUUUAUCAUGUGUCAAUAAUUAUACCUUUAUUAUCUAUCUGUUCUCCUUUUUCGGCUCUGCUAAGCCCAUCUGUUCACAGACUUUCCUUUCUAGUUAAUAAAUUGCUCUAUUAUUAUUUUUCUCUUCACCUGAAUAAAGUUUCUUCUCUACAGGACACUCAGCUUCCAUCAUGGAAGCUAAGGAGAUGAAGCCACGUGCUGUUCCACAGGGCACCUGCUCAUCUGGUCAUGGUGGAGACACUGAUGAGAUGGUGUGGGUCGGGUUCCUAGACUCUGUUCCUGUCAUCGGCUCUGUUAAAGAGGCUGUGGAGUGGGUCCUGGCUCUGGGUGAAGGAGAUCCCAUGCUUGCUGCUGAGAAGAUGAUGGUUGCACUGGGGCUGCAAAAGGAGACCAGUGGAAGAAGCUUUGGAAGAUCAUCUGGGUUCUGGUCAGCCGAUGAAGGGGAUGCAGGCGCGGACAUGGCGGGAACAGACGCUGCAGUCGAUGGUGUUCCACUCAUCAGCCUGUCUUCUUACAUCGAGAACAUGGCGUCUAAAGGGAAGAAAGGAUCUGUGUCUCAAAAAGCCGGUCAACAGCAGAAGAAUAUGAUUAAAAUUAAAAACAUGAUAGAGGAGGCGAUUCACCCUAUAGAUCCAGACUACCAAAUUGACGAGCAGCUUCUUAAAGACGCUGGUGUACGUUCUCGAAGAGGAGAGCAUGUGAUCAACAACGAUGUUCUUAAAUUUCACAAAAAAAUCGACAAGUUCCUGACAAACAGUCGUGAUGUGCAGUGUCCCCUGGAUAAAAGUAUUCAGAAUGAUAUCAUGUAUGAGAUGGUGGCAGAGUUUGAACUAGAUGAGCUGUACAUCAAUGUGAACUCUGUGAUUUAUGGAGUUUAUUGGGGUGUGUUAAAAAUCGCUCUGUGGAAGCUGCUGCAUCCAAACCAUUACAGGAAAUUCAGCUCCUUCCCAGCAGUUCAUAACUGGAUGAGAGAAAUAAGUAGAAGGACUGAAGAGGUGAACUGGAAAGAUGAGGCCGACCGUAUCAUUACUAACAUGAACGACUGCCAGGCUUAUGUGGAUCCUUUUGCGAAGGUGAAGUGGACUAGAAAUUCACCUGACAACCUUAGAAAGUUUGAAGCUGCUAGACAAAGUGUAGCGGUCAUGUACCAAGUCACAUGUGGAACUUUUUACAUAUUCAGAAAUCAUCAGAGUAGAUGGUUCUUCUAAUAAAUCAUUACUCCUUCAGUAUGCAUGUGGAGUAAUAAAGAGGUAAUAACUACUUUAUUACUGUAAACU